CAAUAAUCACUUAGGAGGUAAUAGCAGCAACAAGAACAAAAAGAUGAACCUUCACCCCACACACACCCCCCUCGGAAUUUUGUUUUAGUCUGUGGCACUUUCAAGUGCCCAGGCAAUUCUCAUAUGCAGCCGGGAUUGAGAAGCAUUACUCCAAACCAGUAGUUCUCAAAGAACUAGAUGAUCAGUAUAGUUGGAAACUUGUUAGAAAUGUAAAUUUUAGGUCCCACGUGAGACUUAUUGAAUCAGAAACUCUGAGAGUGGGCACAGCAAUCUGUGUUUUCUAUCAGCCCCUCAGGUGAUACUGAUGCCCACUGAGUUUUGAGACCCCUGCUCUAAACCAAGUGACACUAACAAAAUCUCAGGCCUCGGGACCUAUUUGUGUUGACAAGAAGGGUUUGAGCCGGAUGGUCUUGGCUCUAGAUUCUCCCAGGACCCUAUUCCACCCAGCAUUCUGUGAGGCUGAGAUGCCUGCUGCAGAUUCUGGCGCCACGUUACCCGAGUGGCCCAGGAAUCCUAGGUGCAGAGGGAUGGUCCACUCUGUUGCAGCGUGUUACUUCUCCUUCAAGUCGUCUGCGCCCUCCUGAAUAUUCUCCGUCUGCAACAACAGCCCGGACACAAAUCUGAGGAACUUUCUGGAGUGAUACAGAUGUUCCAUAUCUGGAUCUGAUGGUUACACUGAUGUAUAAUAGGUAAAAUUUGAAUACAGGUUCUAGGCACACCGGCUUCAUUAGUUGUGGCACACAAGCAUAGCUGCCCCAUGGCAUGUGGAAUCUUCCCAGACCAGGGAUCGAACUGAUGUCCCCUGCAUUGGCAGGCGGAUUCUUUACCACUGGACCACCAGGGAAGUCUCUAUUCCAUAUUCUUGAAUGGAAUAUUCAAAAAUAUUCCUGAACCAUAUUCCUUCCAUAUUCCUGAACCAUACUUGAUUUUAUCCAAUUUUCCUCUGCCAAGGUGAGGGAGAUGCUGGCAAGCAGGCAGCACCAUUCCCUCCAGUUCCUGCACUGGAUUGAUGGUUUGCUUUCUGAGAGUUGAUUGAAAGGAGCUCUAGAAGUCAGUCAAAGGCAAGAUAUUUACCAAAAUUUAGGACAUCAUUAAAAUAAUCUGGAGGGAGGAAACAAGAUGGCAAAUUAGAAGGACUUGAACUCACUGACUCUCAUGAAAACACCAAAAAUAAGAACUGGUGUUGGAGAAGACUCUUGAGAGUCCCUUGGACUGCAAGGAGAUCCAACCAGUCCAUUCUGAAGGACCAUCAGCCCUGGGAUUUCUUUGGAAGGAAUGAUGCUGAAGCUGAAACUCCAGUAUUUUGGCCACC
ensembl:lncRNA